UAUAAUUCAGGCUGGCCUUAAACUCACUUAUGUAGCCUACGUGAGCCUUGAAUUUAGAGCAAUCCUCCUGCCUCAGCCUCUAGAGCUGGGAUUUUGGGUAUGACCCACCCCAUCCAGCUUUACAUCAAAAUAAAUCUUAUCUUUCAAAGAAUAUUAGCUAUUUCUCUAAACACUCUGAUAUCCACAAGUUCUAAGUUACUGAUAAACAAAGAAAGUAUCUAUACUUUCAGCAGGACACUAAAGGCUUUCCUCUAGGAUUGAUUAUGGUUUAUUAUUCAUCAUUUUUCAGGUACAGUUAACUAGUAAAAUUCUAACAGUAUUCUCGUUCAAACCAUUCUCCAUUUUGAACACUGGAAUAAUUUUGUCAAAUAUACUCUAGUAAAAGCUAACUGUACAAUGUCAAAGGCAUUUAACAAAGCCACUCCCCAGCUAGCCCUGUCUCUACUCAAGAUACCAACAGCCUAAUCCUACAAAUUAUGUUAUAAAUCUACCCUAACAGAUCUUCACUACAUUUUAUCCAGAAGACAAACUUCAGUAUUCCUAAUUUAUGAUUAGUACUUUUUUUCUUUUAGUUAUUUUGUUUUGAAACAGGGUCUUGCUAUGCAGUUCACGCUGGCCUCAAACUCACGGCGAUCCUUCUCUCUCAGCCUCCCAUACUCUGGGAUUACAGGUGUGCACCACCAUGCCUGGCUCCCAGUAAUAGUUUUGCCAUAGCCAGCCUGGUUAAAAAGAGCUCAGAUACCAAAGGGAGGGAGAGACACUCACGGGACAAGAUUUCAUCUGUCAGUCAGCCCCAGAUAUCAGGCAUAAUCUACAACAACUUCAGACGGGACCACAGACACGAUGGCACUAUGGCCCAGCUGCUGGACACAGCCUCUUCUAUGUUCAACAAUUCGGAUCCAGGGGAGAGACAGAGAAAGAUUAUAGUUACUGCAAUUGGUAAUGCCGUAAACCCACUCCAGUCACCUGAGGAAAAA
rnacentral:lncRNA from 1 species